ACUUCUGGGCUUCCAGCUCUGCGCGUGCCCGGCGAGCAGUCCUUAGAGAUCGUCUGCUUAAAGGCUGAGACCCUCGCCACCAGAGGAUAGGAGGGUAGCCCAGUGAUGCGGCGGGAGUGCCUAUCUCACCUGGGUCGCGCUUGGUCUCCAUAUCCUCAUCCUGGCCCCCACCCGCGUCCCCUAGCUCCGCUGGAGUAGGGAGGAAACUUUCUUAAUUCCAGAAUUUCCUUGGGCCACUUGAGAGGCAAGGCAACAUGAAGACAACCAGAGGCCACCUCGGGGGCGGGGCACAAAUGAAAUUCACGGGUAGAGGAAAAGACAGAGGACACACUCCUAAGGGAAGAGGCAAUAGGAGCAGAACGGAGGAGGGGAAAGAGCAGAGCGUGAAAAGUCAAGGUUUCGGGGCCUUUUUUGGUAGGAGGCCUGUGAUAAGGUUCUUGACUGAACAACCUGGCCUAGAGAAAACCUUCCCACUGAGACAACUCUCCUGCUGGAGGGUAGUCUUUCAGAGCAGCGGCCUGCAGAAAGGAAGAGAUGUCAUCCUUGAAUGGAUCUAAUCAGAGAGGGUGCUGGCCUCAGAGAGAGGGGGGGCGCGGGGGCGCGCUCGGCUUUUCCUCAUACCUCUGAGAGACCCUACUUCCUGGGUUCACUGUCCACUGUCUGGUUGCUCAUGCCUGAUGACUCAACAUAUGCCAAAUAAAGGAUACCCAAGUGGGCAGGAUUACUGGGCACGGCA
rnacentral:lncRNA from 1 species